GUGCCAGCCGCCGCGGUAAUACGUAGGUGGCAAGCGUUAUCCGGAAUUAUUGGGCGUAAGGCGCGCGUAGGCGGUUUUUUAAGUCUGAUGUGAAAGCCCACGGCUCAACCGUGGAGGGUCAUUGGAAACUGGAAAACUUGAGUGCAGAAGAGGAAAGUGGAAUUCCAUGUGUAGCGGUGAAAUGCGCAGAGAUAUGGAGGAACACCAGUGGCGAAGGCGACUUUCUGGUCUGUAACUGACGCUGAUGUGCGAAAGCGUGGGGAUCAAACAG
rnacentral:rRNA from 1 species